UAGGGAAUCUUCGGCAAUGGACGAAAGUCUGACCGAGCAACGCCGCGUGAGUGAAGAAGGUUUUCGGAUCGUAAAACUCUGUUGUUAGAGAAGAACAAGGACGUUAGUAACUGAACGUCCCCUGACGGUAUCUAACCAGAAAGCCACGGCUAACUACGUGCCAGCAGCCGCGGUAAUACGUAGGUGGCAAGCGUUGUCCGGAUUUAUUGGGCGUAAAGCGAGCGCAGGCGGUUUCUUAAGUCUGAUGUGAAAGCCCCCGGCUCAACCGGGGAGGGUAAUUGGAAACUGGGAGACUGGAGUGCAGAAGAGGAGAGUGGAAUUCCAUGUGUAGCGGUGAAAUGCGUAGAUAUAUGGAGGAAAACCAGUGGCGAAGGCGGCUCUCUGGUCUGUAACUGACGCUGAGGCUCGAAAGCGUGGGGAGCAAACAGU
rnacentral:rRNA from 1 species